GAUGAACGCUAGCGGCAGGCUUAACACAUGCAAGUCGAGGGGCAGCGCGAUGUAGCAAUACAUUGGCGGCGACCGGCGCACGGGUGCGUAACACGUAUGGAAUCUGCCCUGUACUGGGGAAUAGCCCGGAGAAAUCCGGAUUAAUGCCCCAUAACAGACGAAGUGGCAUCACUUUGUCUUGAAAGCUCCGGCGGUACAGGAUGACCAUGCGCACGAUUAGCUAGUUGGUGAGGUAACGGCUCACCAAGGCUACGAUCGUUAGGGGGCCUGAGAGGGUUAUCCCCCACACUGGUACUGAGACACGGACCAGACUCCUACGGGAGGCAGCAGUGAGGAAUAUUGCGCAAUGGAGGCAACUCUGACGCAGCCAUGCCGCGUGCAGGAAGAAGGCGCUACGCGUUGUAAACUGCUUUUGGAUGGGAACAAUAACUCCGACUUGUCGGAACUUGAGGGUACCAUCAGAAUAAGCA
rnacentral:rRNA from 1 species